CGAUCUAUGGCUAAAUUGUUUAAGGCUUCGCCGAUGACAGGCGAGGGUGCGGGUUCGAGUCCCGCUAGAACGG
rnacentral:tRNA from 1 species